rnacentral:rRNA from 1 species
AUGAACGCUGGCGGCGUGCCUAAUACAUGCAAGUCGAACGCUUUGUGGUUCAACUGAUUUGAAGAGCUUGCUCAGAUAUGACGAUGGACAUUGCAAAGAGUGGCGAACGGGUGAGUAACACGUGGGAAACCUACCUCUUAGCAGGGGAUAACAUUUGAAAACAGAUGCUAAUACCGUAUAACAAUGACAACCGCAUGGUUGUUAUUUCAAAGAUGGUUCUGCUAUCACUAAGAGAUGGUCCCGCGGUGCAUUAGCUAGUUGGUAAGGUAAUGGCUUACCAAGGCGAUGAUGCAUAGCCGAGUUGAGAGACUGAUCGGCCACAAUGGGACUGAGACACGGCCCAUACUCCUACGGGAGGCAGCAGUAGGGAAUCUUCCACAAUGGGCGAAAGCCUGAUGGAGCAACGCCGCGUGUGUGAUGAAGGGUUUCGGCUCGUAAAACACUGUUGUAAGAGAAGAAUGACAUUGAGAGUAACUGUUCAAUGUGUGACGGUAUCUUACCAGAAAGGAACGGCUAAAUACGUGCCAGCAGCCGCGGUAAUACGUAUGUUCCAAGCGUUAUCCGGAUUUAUUGGCGUAAAGCGAGCGCAGACGGUUAUUUAAGUCUGAAGUGAAAGCCCUCAGCUCAACUGAGGAAUUGCUUUGGAAACUGGAUGACUUGAGUGCAGUAGAGGAAAGUGGAACUCCAUGUGUAGCGGUGAAAUGCGUAGAUAUAUGGAAGAACACCAGUGGCGAAGGCGGCUUUCUGGACUGUAACUGACGUUGAGGCUCGAAAGUGUGGGUAGCAAACAGGAUUAGAUACCCUGGUAGUCCACACCGUAAACGAUGAGUGCUAGGUGUUUGAGGGUUUCCGCCCUUAAGUGCCGCAGCUAACGCAUUAAGCACUCCGCCUGGGGAGUACGACCGCAAGGUUGAAACUCAAAGGAAUUGACGGGGACCCGCACAAGCGGUGGAGCAUGUGGUUUAAUUCGAAGCAACGCGAAGAACCUUACCAGGUCUUGACAUCCCUUGACAACUCCAGAGAUGGAGCGUUCCCUUCGGGGACAAGGUGACAGGUGGUGCAUGGUUGUCGUCAGCUCGUGUCGUGAGAUGUUGGGUUAAGUCCCGCAACGAGCGCAACCCUUAUUACUAGUUGCCAGCAUUCAGUUGGGCACUCUAGUGAGACUGCCGGUGACAAACCGGAGGAAGGUGGGGAUGACGUCAAAUCAUCAUGCCCCUUAUGACCUGGGCUACACACGUGCUACAAUGGCGUAUACAACGAGUUGCCAACCCGCGAGGGUGAGCUAAUCUCUUAAAGUACGUCUCAGUUCGGAUUGUAGGCUGCAACUCGCCUACAUGAAGUCGGAAUCGCUAGUAAUCGCGGAUCAGCACGCCGCGGUGAAUACGUUCCCGGGUCUUGUACUCACCGC